GUUGCUACUGAGUACUGACUCAAAGAUUUCACUUUUACACCUUUCCCCUCCUUUCCCAACAUUCAUCAAAACUCAGAACUCAGAACCAACGCAUCCACACACCUCACUGUCUCUCUUAACUCCCAAAUGCCCACCAUUUCUCACUUCGUCACAUUCACCUUCCUAACCAUUUCCACCAUGGCCUGUGCAGCUCAAGCUGUGGGUGUGAACUGGGGCACCGAGGCUUCUCACCCUCUACCAGCCCCCAAAGUUGUGAAGCUCUUGAAAUCCAACAACAUCAACAAAGUUAAGCUCUUUGAUGCCAACUCUAGUGUUCUUCUAGCUCUUUCUGGGUCUAAUGUUGCUGUCACUGUGGGUAUUCCUAACAUUUUGCUCAGAAGCUUGAACUCUUCCAAGAAGGCUGCGGAUAGUUGGGUACAUGAUAAUGUAACCCGCUAUGUUUCCAAUGGGGGAAGUGUAGCUCGAAUUGAAUAUGUUGCUGUUGGUGAUGAGCCGUUUCUUAAAAGUUAUGGUGAACAGUUUCAUCCCUUUGUAAUUGGAGCUGCUAUGAACAUUCAAUCAGCUUUAAAGAGAGCUAAACUGGACAGCAGAGUGAAAGUAGUGGUUCCAUGUAGCUUUGACAGUUUCGAGUCAGGAUCGAACCUCUCCUCAGAAGUGCAUUUCAGGCCUGACCUCAACAAAACCAUGAUUCAGCUCCUUUCAUUUCUUGACAAGCACGGAUCCCCUUUCUUUGUGACCAUUUCUCCAUUCAUAACCUUCCUUCAAACCAAAAACACCUCACUGGACUUUUUCCUCUUUAAAGAAACUGCACGCCCUCGUAAUUUCAGCCAUAAAACAUACAAAAAUAGCUUCGACUUGAGUUACGAUACAGUGGUUGCUGCAUUAUCAGAAGUUGGAUUUCCUAGCAUGGACGUUGUUGUGGCGAAGAUUGGUUGGCCGACGGAUGGAUCUGCCAAUGCAAGCUCAUACCUAGCAGAAACAUUCAUGAAAGGCCUGAUAAACCAUCUUCAUAGAAGCUCGGGGACCCCGCUCAGGCCGCAUCAGCAACCGCCCGAAACAUACAUUUUAAGCCUUCUUGACGAGGACGAAAGGAGCAUUGCUGCCGGAAACUUUGAGAGGCAUUGGGGAUUGUUCACUUUUGAUGGCCAAGCAAAGUACCAUGUGGACCUUGGCCAGGGCUCAAAGAGUCUUGUGAAUGCUCAAAAUGUUGAGUAUCUUUCCUCUAAGUGGUGUGUUGUGAACAACAACAAAGACUUGUCUAAUGCAACUGCAAGCGCUUCAGAAGCUUGUGCAAAUGCUGAUUGUACUGCUCUAUCUCCUGGUGGAUCUUGUUUUAACAUCAGCUGGCCUAGUAACAUAUCAUAUGCUUUUAACAGUUAUUAUCAGCAGCAUGAUCAAACAGCAGAAAGCUGUGACUUUGGCGGUCUUGGUUUAAUCACCACCGUUGAUCCGUCCAUGGAUCGUUGCAGGUUUCCGAUUGAGAUUCGCACUUCACAAGCUGAAUCUAGCAGGGUGUGCAGCUUCCAGUGGAUGAUUUUACUUGUAACAACCUUCUUGGCAGUUAGGUAAAGGAACAUGCUGAUGAAGGCUUCUAGCUUAAUUGGAGUAGCAAGAUCUUGUAAGUACUGAAUCAGUCUCUCCCUUAGAAAAGAUGAUCUUAUUUUAAUGCCUUUGAGUUUGCUAUUCAGUCCCUUCUUGCAGCUCUUGGAACUCAAGCUCUCAUAUAGACAAGAACUGAAGAACUUGUCAAUUUGUAUACCAAGCUGUAUUUCCACUGAUGCAAAUAUAUUUCCCUACUAGUAAUCAGCUUGAUCAAAUCACAAAUUAAUUUCCAUGCCAUCCAAAACCACAACAUGUCAACUACUGCAACAACAUCAGCAUCCUUGCACACAAUGAAAAUGGGUUGAAUUUGAAGAAAAGAGCCUUGGAAGAAGGUCUUUGUAUGAAGCAAUAUGAAGACUUCAAGAACAUGUCUAGUAAAAUUCAACUUGAUAGUGAAUGAAUUUGAUAUAUUAAUCUCACACUUCAAUUGAUCAAAACGAUGGUGUCUUUUGUGGAAGAAUGAACUUGCAGUGAACAAAGACAUAGUCUAUACCAUUCUUAACCCCAAUUCUAUCAGCUCUUUUCUUUGAAACCUUUUUACAAACAGCUUGUCUACAACUUCUGGAUUCACCAGGAUCAAGUGGAAUUUUCCUAAACUGAUUUCCUAUCUGGGAAUCAUUUCCACAAACACCUUUUGAGCAACACAAGAAUCCAUCAAGAUCAAACUGAAUAUUUGCUAUCUCUGAGGAUUUUUCACAAAAAACAUGUGAACAAUCCCAAAAUCCUCCAGGAUCAAAUGAAAGUUUCUUAGGAAGAUUUACUAUCUCAGAGUAAUUUCCACAAACACUUGGUGUGCGAAAACAAGGACCAUCAAUCUCAAGCAACAAGUUCGAAUCAUUCUUCCAAUCAAAAGAGAUAUUCAAUAAUCCUAGCCAAGACAAUUGAAAUUCUUUGAAUGAAAGAAGGAUUUGAAUUACCUCUGUGAUCAAAUUCUUCAUGAGACACGAAUCUGCUUCAAGAUUGAUCGCACCCUCACUGAAAUCUCCAAAAACAUAAGCAUU